AUUGAACGCUGGCGGCAUGCCUUAAACAUGCAAGUCGAACGGUAACAGGUCUUCGGAUGCUGACGAGUGGCGAACGGGUGAGUAAUACAUCGGAACGUGCCCGAGAGUGGGGGAUAACGAGGCGAAAGCUUUGCUAAUACCGCAUACGAUCUCAGGAUGAAAGCAGGGGAACGCAAGGCCUUGCGCUCACGGAGCGGCCGAUGGCAGAUUAGGUAGUUGGUGGGAUAAAAGCUUACCAAGGCGACGAUCUGUAGCUGGUCUGAGAGGACGACCAGCCACACUGGAACUGGGACACGGUCCAGACUCCUACGGGAGGCAGCAGUGGGGAAUUUUGGACAAUGGGCGCAAGCCUGAUCCAGAAAUGCCGCGUGCAGGAUGAAGGCCUUCGGGUUGUAAACUGCUUUUGUACGGAACGAAACGGUGAGCGCUAAUACAGUUUGCUAAUGACGGUACCGUAAGAAUAAGCACCGGCUAACUACGUGCCAGCAGCCGCUGUAACAC
rnacentral:rRNA from 1 species